rnacentral:rRNA from 1 species
AUUGAACGCUGGCGGCAUGCCUUACACAUGCAAGUCGAACGAGUGGCGAACGGGUGAGUAAUAUAUCGGAACGUACCGAGCAAUGGGGGAUAACGAAUCGAAAGUUUGGAUAAUAUCGCAUAUUCUUUGAGCGGCCGAUAGCUGAUUAGCGAGUUGGUGGGGUAAAGGCCUACAAAGGCGACGAUCAGUAGCGGGUCUGAGAGGGCGAUCCGCCACACUGGGACUGAGACACGGCCCAGACUCCUACGGGAGGCAGCAGUGGGGAAUUUUGGACAAUGGGGGCAACCCUGAUCCAGCCAUGCCGCGUGUAUGAAGAAGGCCUUCGGGUUGUAAAGUACUUUUGUUAGGUAAGCGGUACCUAAAGAAUAAGCACCGGCUAACUACGUGCCAGCCGCCGCGGUAAUUC